rnacentral:rRNA from 1 species
GAUGAACGCUGGCGGCGUGCCUAACACAUGCAAGUCGAGCGGCAGCGAGGGGUGCUUGCACCCUGUCGGCGAGCGGCGGACGGCUGAGUAACGCGUGGGAACGUGCCCCAAAGUGAGGAAUAACUGCCCGAAAGGGUAGCUAAUACCGCAUAUUAUCUUCGGAUCAAAGGAUUUAUCCGCUUUGGGAGCGGCUCGCGUCGGAUUAGGUAGUUGGUGAGGUAAUGGCUCACCAAGCCGACGAUCCGUAGCUGGUCUGAGAGGAUGACCAGCCAGACUGGAACUGAGACCCGGUCCAGACUCCUACGGGAGGCAGCAGUGAGGAAUCUUCCACAAUGGGCGAAAGCCUGAUGGAGCAACGCCGCGUGCAGGACGAAGGCCUUCGGGUUGUAAACUGCUUUUAUAAGUGAGGAAUAUGACGGUAACUUAUGAAUAAGGAUCGGCUAACUACGUG